rnacentral:misc_RNA from 1 species
CACAAAAUGUUAGCUGUUGAUAGUGUGACACCCCUUACUCGUGUACAGUAUACCCGAAUAAGUAAUGCCACACGGUGUACUGGCACACUCUAAUAUACCUUACUUAAUUUUGUUUUUCUCCUAUGUAAUUAAACUUGUGUAAUGUAUAUUGAUGUUUAUGUAAUUUGGCAAAUUCUGCAGAAUUCAGUUUCAGGGUUCCGGAUUGUGGCUGAGUUUUGACCCUUUUGCUUUGGUCUUUUGGGCAUGGU